AUAUUUAUAGAAGACAUAAAUAAAACGAAGACACAUUUCUGGUUGUAAACCAGCCUUUUCUUGACUCUGUAUAUUUUUGCUCCUGUAAGUGAGGAAGCUGUAAAUGAGCGCUGAAGGAUGAUGUCGACCUGUGUUUUAUAAAGCGGCUGUGAAGAAAGUGAAAGCCCGUGUUUUUGCAUGUUGUACCACUGACCCUGUUCUAUAUUAAUCUGAGAGAGUGCAGAGAGAGCGGCGAGAUCACGGUGAAAACACAACAUGUCUACUAACUGCUCUCAAGGCACAUUAAUGCUCUCUCUGCUGAAAAACAGAGCGGAGCAGAUGAUGAGGAGACAAAAAGAAAGACUGAUUCGUCUUCAGUCAGAUGAUCCAUUAAAUGUGUUUUUGGUAGAGGGUAGGGUAACUGCUCUGGACGAAUGCAGGACCAGAAACCAGCCAUUUCCUGCACAGUCUGAUUAUCGCCGUCAUGGUCGUUUGCAGAGCAAAGCCCAGUUUACCUCCCAGGCAUGCAGCCUUCAUGUUUACUCUUCCUCUCAGAAACAAAUCACUGACAUCCUGACAGACUGUCCAUGACCUGCAUAACUCACACAGAAGCCAUAAAGUACCAUCUCUGAGCAGUGACAUCUUUUAUGGUAAUUCCCAAUAAAGUCAUGUCUGUGGGGAGUCAUUUUCCCAUGACGACACGCACACAUUACCAGUAACAGUUCGCAUACAACUUUACUGUAAUGUAGAACAUGCAAAGCUACUAGGGGGCAUCGACACCCUCACUUCACGCUGCCUGAAACAAGCUGUUUUAGCUCCCGUGUCUUUAAGGGCCACCAUCUUUAUUAGCCAGCUUCUGGAAGCCUGCUGAGGGGCAGCAGUCUGAAGCCUGAGCUUUUAAAUCAUGUGAUGUUUUACAUUGUUUUUUGGAGGCCUGACUUCAGAUGUGUGCAGCUUGGUUCAGUUUUGGUGACGUGGGAACAGCAGCGUCACCUUUUGGUAUGUUCAGCUCAUUUAUUCAGGUUUCUCCGUCGUCACCUGCCUGUAACAGGUAAUAAGUAAGAACACCACGAGCUGGAAUGAUUAAACUACACAGCCUCAGGCCGUUUCCAGCAGUGUUUUGUUUCUCCUUUGACCUCGACCGGCUCUGCUGUGAAGCAUUGUUUGGUCGACCUUGAAUCCAGACCUUCCUGAGGGGUAAAUAAACGACUCACGUUAAAAUGAUCUCAGACGGAAAGACUAAAUGUGAGAAACACGCCAAAGUGUGUGAGCAGUCCAAGAAACGUCCUCUGAGACCAACAGACUCAACCUGCUGCUCAGCUCCUCUCUCUACCAUUUUCUUCUUUUGUCUGAGGUGACUCGUCAGGUAAUGGCUUCCUCGAACAGCUGGACAGGUCAAAGGGUCGUAUGACAGCAGCCUGCGGCCAAUCAGCAGCCACUGAAUGCGGUCCAGGAGAACAAAGUGAAGUGAAGCUGUUGGACUUACAGGAGUUACUGAUUUCAUUAUGUGAAGCAUUUCCAGCUGGAACAGCACCAGUCUAAGAUCCACACUGAUGAACACAUCACGCAGACCGGAGCAGCUGGGAAUUGAACCACCAACCUUCUCAUUAGCCGAUGACCUUCAGAGUGAUGAGGAGGCUGUAAUCUUCCUCAGAGUAACACAUGAAACAUUCUGAACUUCCUUUGGGUUUUCUGUAAGUUUCUCUGAUCAGAGUUUGGCGAAAUUAUCAGGUCGAAGCUGAUGUGUUAAAACCUGCAGUUCCUCUGGUGGCCACCAGAUGCUGCUGUCGUAUACUGUCACGUAAAAAUGUUGAACUUUACCGCAGAAAUAAGCACGUUUACAGAAACCGUUUGGGUCUCUGUGGAUCAUUUCCUCCUUUAUAAUUGCAGCACGGCAGGUGAUUGUUUUUAUAACGCUUCUUUUUUAACUUGAUUGAGGCUUCCAGUUUGGCGUGUGGCUCCUUUGGUUAGAGCUGGAGCUGCUAGCCUCGGCCUUGGCUCUCCGGAGUCAUUGAACUCGACCUGCGGGCCGAGUUUGUGCUGCUGUGCUGCGUCCUUGAAGUCUGUCCUCCAAGUUUGGGUGAAUUAAAGUCUAAGAUUUUGUUAGCCUGUUAUUUAGCUCUCAGUAUUAGAGGGUGCAGUGUCGGUGUGAUGCAUUAGCUUAAAAACCAGUCUUGCUAGGAGCAGCCGAUAACUUCCACUCUCUUGUCCAAAUAUGGUCGCUUCCAGCUCCAAAGAAACCAAGAUGGCUGCACUUAGACUGCAGUAACCAAAGGGUGGCCUCCUCCUCCUGUUAGCGUUCAGGGCUUCUUCUUUGACAAUCUGUGGAUUAAAAACCUUUUUAGGACUGUAAUGGGGGCAUCAACCACUUCAGAAGGAGCCUCCAUCAGCCGGGUGGUGCAUUAGUGAAGUCGUCUGGAGGCACGUGGGUCCCAUGUUUUGUUAAUAACAAGUCUCUCAUGAAAACCACUAAGUGGCGGAGCUGCCUGGUAAGUUUACCUGUUGCUAUGGAUUCCAGCAUGGUGCUCUGGUUUUAAAAAGCAGAUCAGAUGAUGAGAGCUGAGGAGCAGCUGAAGCUGUUUUCAACAGCUGACCUCUGUCAGCCUCUGUGGGCUGAUUUGUUUGUGAGGAAUAAUCAGCAGGACCUGAUGGCACCGCCGCCUCCUUGGACCAAUCCCUGACUCAGACCGUCUCCAGGACUGCUCGCCAGAUCGCACUCCCAGUGUUUUGUGGAUGGUUUGGAGGCAGUUUGAUCAUGAAGCAGGAAACAAGCUGAAUACUGAAGAUGGGCGACGUUAACAGUUAAAAGUUAAAACCAGUUUAUUCUGUUUCUUGUGUUUUCAACAUUAGUAUUAAUAUAAAUACUCUGCUCCGUCUGAAUAAAGUAUUUACCAGAUGAAAAACUGCAGCGCAGGCAGACAGAUGUCGACUUCUUUCCAUGAACAAUACAGCUUCAUUCAAAGAAACACAGAUGAGACUGUAACACAGAAAGAAAAUGCUGAGUCUGCUUUCUAUGAAUAAAGUUAAAUUUGAGCAUUGAA